rnacentral:rRNA from 1 species
GUUGAACCCUGCACAGCAGAACGACCCGCGAACCUGUAAAAUACAACUCGGGGGGCGAGGGGCAACCCGGACCCCCCUUGGCUGGGGAGCACUAACUCGGUCCUCGCUCGUCGAUGCCCGCUGUUUGUUGCCUUCCCCGCCGCAAACGAACCCCGGCGCAAACCGCGCCAAGGAACCCGAACGAAUCAAAGCGCGCCCCGACGCCCCAGAGAUGGUGUGCGUUUGGGUGCUGCGCCGUAUUCUAUAUGUCAAAACGACUCUCGGCAACGGAUAUCUCGGCUCUCGCAUCGAUGAAGAACGUAGCGAAAUGCGAUACUUGGUGUGAAUUGCAGAAUCCCGUGAACCAUCGAGUCUUUGAACGCAAGUUGCGCCCGAAGCCAAUAGGYCGAGGGCACGUCUGCCUGGGCGUCACACAACGUUGCCCCCCAACCACAAACCCCGACCCCGGGGAGGGCUGGGGGGCGGAUGCUGGCCUCCCGUGAACCAUGGCUCGCGGCUGGCCCAAAUGCGAGCACCCGGAGACUAGCGCCGCGGCGAUCGGUGGUUGUCCAACCCUCGGUGCCACGCUGCGCGCGCAAGUCUCCCGUCCCCGCUCCUAUGGCCCAAYGCGUCGCGCACGCGGCGUUCACAACGCGACCCC